rnacentral:rRNA from 1 species
AUUGAACGCUGGCGGAAUGCUUUACACAUGCAAGUCGAACGGCAGCACGGACUUCGGUCUGGUGGAGAGUGACGAACGGGUGAGUAAUGUCUUGGAACGUGCCCAGUCGUGGGGGAUAACGUAGUGAAAAUUACGCUAAUACCGCAUACGAUCUAUGGAUGAAAGCGGGGGAACGCAAGACCUCGCGCGAUUGGAGCGGCCGAUAUCGGAUUAGGUAGUUGGGGGGGUAAAGGCCCACCAAGCCAACGAUCUUUAGCUGGUCUGUGAAGACGACCAGCCGCGCAGGAACUGGGACAAGGUCCAGACUCCUACGGGAGGCAGCAGUGGGGAAUUUUGGACAAUGGGCGAAAGCCUGAUCCAGCCAGUCCGCGUGCAGGGUGAAGGCCCUAGGGUUGUAAACUGCUUUUUUUCAGUACGAAAAGGUUUCUACUAAUAAUAGGAGCUCAUGACGGUACUGUAAGAAUAAGCACCGGCUAACUACGUGCCAGCCGCCGCAGUAG